rnacentral:lncRNA from 1 species
AUUCAUGGGAUCACAACCAAAUUUGCUUACUUCAAUAAUAAAAUUUACAAGGAUAUUAUGUGCUAAGAUGCUGCGUUUGGCUAUUAACAAGAAGAAAAAAAAUUAAUAAUUACCGAAAUUAAGCAAAAGCAAAAAAUUAAAAGAGAAAUACAGAGAAAUGAAAGAAAAUUUCAAGUCGCAGCUAAGGCGGUGAUGGGCCAGUGAAAAAUAUGAUUGCCGGCGAGAAGGGGUUAGCAACUAGCAGCAAAGCUUGCUCUUUGGAGAGAGAUGAGACCGAAUUUGACGAUGGUGGAGCUGGGUUUUUGAUAAUAAUGGAUGAUGAAUUGAGAUGAUUUAAUUGAUGAUGUAUUGGUGAACUUGGUCGUUGGGGAUGAAGAAGACGAAGAUUGAGGUGGUAGUCGCUAGGGAUGAGGGAGAUGAGGUUUGAGGUGGCCGCUGGGGAUGAGUGAGAUGAAGAUUGAGAUGAAGAUGGAGAUGAAGAUUGAGAGAUGAACUGAUAAAGAUUGAGGGAUUGUUUUGUUUUGCUUAUGUUCCCCCCUCCCCUCAACAAGGUGGCGGCUGGUGCAAUUGUUUUGUUUUGCUUUAGGGUUUUGCGGGUUUGCU